ncrna:unclassified sequences manA RNA
UGUAAGGACGCUUACAUCGGGAGUGACUGAAUAAACUUGCUGGCAUACGUCUAGUUAAGGUGAUGAGUUAGAGGUGGUGCUCGCUGCUGGGAACAGUAGAACUACAAACCAAGUAGAGCUCAGGUCUGAUGGUCUUUCUAACUGUAGAAAUGCCCCAUCAGUGUUGGAAUACAGAAACCCAACCUCCCUCUUU